CACACUACAUCGACGUACUAGUAAACUUAUAAACUCUGGGUUACAGAUCGGUUUCUACAUGGCUGCAUCAGUCGUUGCUGCCUUGGUCGCCUGUGGUCCGUUAUUGAUGUUCUCGCUGUAUGACCUAAGAAAUUAUGGCAGAUCUUUCAAGGAUGAUACAGCAUAUACCCAUGCAUGGACGGUGCUGAUGUGUAUGUGUGGGAUCAUGGCUUCACUCGCCGUUCUUGAGGGGAUGUUGUCAUUGACAUCCCUCAUGCUCUGUGCGUUUAAUGUGUAGCACUGUUGUGAAAAGCACGAGGUGCAGGCCUCCAUGCCAGGUUACACUGCGACUGCGCGACCGGAAACCGAGGGCCGAGUGCACCUCCGCCAGGAAUCUAAUUCCAGGAACUAUUUUCCUAUACAUGUAUAUAGUGCUUUAUGAUGAUGCGAAAUGUGGAAUCAAGAGAAGAAAAAUUUGCCAACUUAGAAAAAACAUUAUUUCUAUUACACAUGUGAUUAUCUGCAUGUUUUAUUUAUUUUCAUUUCCCUCAUAUUCACUAUUCCAUUAUUUCUGUUCUAAAAUGACACUUCUGAUCAAAAAUGGAAAAAGUUUCAGUGACUUCGCCAGACAAAUUUAAUGUAACUGAGACCUUUGUGUGGAAUUAUCUGUACGAGAGCCUGGCAGGAACAAGCUGUAGAUGUCAACGCUUGUGUACAUUUCAUGUUUUCGCGCCAUUGUGACUUGAAUGAUCUCCAUGGAAACCACGCGCGGAUCCUUUAGGUGGCGUUCUUCUUGUCUGUUGCCGUAGAAAAGACUUCGAAUGCACUCUAGGAUAAAUUCUGUUGCUGAAAAACAGAAACAAAUAAAACUACAUUUAAUAAAGCUGGUGUGUUUCAGUAAAUAAUAAAAAAACGUGUAAUAUUAUUUUUAUUUAAAAUAUUUAAAUGUAGAAAGGUUUGUAAAACGAAUUGUUGGUGCCCAGAAAUCCAUGUGUCAGUACGCAUUUCACAGUAUCGUACCUCGGAACAAAUUCUGAAAUGAGAUGCACUACUUUCCAACCCCGCUGAGAAUCACUAUCACAUCGCGAACUAGGCGAGAGCGGUGUCGCGUCCGAUACUUCGAAGCGGGUGCUGACGCACACCUUGAAAGCAGAUAGUGUGGUCUGAUACAGGCCUACCGGUGAAUUUAUAAUCAUUCGGUGCCGA